rnacentral:misc_RNA from 1 species
GAAAUGCGAUAACUAAUGUGAAUUGCAGAAUUCAGUGAAUCAUCGAGUCUUUGAACGCACAUUGCGCCCCCUGGUAUUCCGGGGGGCAUGCCUGUCCGAGCGUCAUUGCUGCCCUCAAGCCCGGCUUGUGUGUUGGGUCGCCGUCCUCCUCUCCGGGGGGACGGGCCCGAAAGGCAGCGGCGGCACCGCGUCCGAUCCUCGAGCGUAUGGGGCUUUGUCACAUGCUCUGUAGGAUUGGCCGGCGCCUGCCGACGUUUUCCAACCAUUCUUUCCAGGUUGACCUCGGAUCAGGUAGGGAUACCCGCUGAACUUAAGC